UACGUAGGGUGCGAGCGUUGUCCGGAAUUAUUGGGCGUAAAGAGCUCGUAGGCGGUCUGUCGCGUCGGUCGUGAAAACUUGGGGCUUAACCCUGAGCUUGCGGUCGAUACGGGCAUGACUGGAGUUCGGCAGGGGAGACUGGAAUUCCUGGUGUAGCGGUGAAAUGCGCAGAUAUCAGGAGGAACACCGGUGGCGAAGGCAGCUCACUGGGACGGUACUGACGCUGAGACGCGAAAGCGUGGGGAGCAAACAGG
rnacentral:rRNA from 1 species